AAAAACUCCGGUGGUAUGAGAUGGACCCGCGUCUGAUUAGCUGGUUGGAGGGGUAACGGCCCACCAAGGCGACGAUCAGUAGCCGGCCUGAGAGGGUGAACGGCCACAUUGGGACUGAGACACGGCCCAGACUCCUACGGGAGGCAGCAGUGGGGAAUAUUGCACAAUGGGGGAAACCCUGAUGCAGCGACGCCGCGUGAAGGAAGAAGUAUCUCGGUAUGUAAACUUCUAUCAGCAGGGAAGAAAAUGACGGUACCUGACUAAGAAGCCCCGGCUAACUACGUGCCAGCAGCCGCGGUAAUACGUAGGGGGCAAGCGUUAUCCGGAUUUACUGGGUGUAAAGGGAGCGUAGACGGAAGAGCAAGUCUGAUGUGAAAGGCUGGGGCUUAACCCCAGGACUGCAUUGGAAACUGUUUUUCUAGAGUGCCGGAGAGGUAAGCGGAAUUCCUAGUGUAGCGGUGAAAUGCGUAGAUAUUAGGAGGAACACCAGUGGCGAAGGCGGCUUACUGGACGGUAACUGACGUUGAGGCUCGAAAGCGUGGGGAGCAAACAGGAUUAGGUACCCUGGUAGUCCACGCCGUA
rnacentral:rRNA from 1 species